UACGGGGGGAGCAAGCGUUGUUCGGAUUUACUGGGCGUAAAGGGCGCGUAGGCGGUCGUGACAAGUCACUUGUGAAAUCUCCGGGCUUAACUCGGAACGGUCAAGUGAUACUGUCGGACUAGAGUACAGAAGGGGCGAACUGGAAUUCUCGGGUGUAGCGGUGAAAUGCGUAGAUAUCGAGAGGAACACCUGCGGCGAAGGCGGGUUGCUGGGCUGAUACUGACGCUGAGGCGCGAAAGC
rnacentral:rRNA from 1 species